rnacentral:rRNA from 1 species
GAUGAACGCUAGCGGCAGGCUUAAUACAUGCAAGUCGUGGGGCAGCAGGGGUGUAGCAAUACAUUCGCUGGCGACCGGCAAACGGGUGCAGAACACGUACGCAACCUACCCAAAACUGGGGAAUAGCCCGGGGAAACCCGGAUUAAUACCUCGUAACACCAUGAAGUGGCAUCACUAUAUGGUUAUAGCUCCGGCGGUUUUGGAUGGGCGUGCGCCUGAUUAGGUAGUUGGCGGGGUAACGGCCCACCAAGCCUGCGAUCAGUAACUGGUGUGAGAGCACGACCAGUCACACGGGCACUGAGACACGGGCCCGACUCCUACGGGAGGCAGCAGUAAGGAAUAUUGGUCAAUGGACGCAAGUCUGAACCAGCCAUGCCGCGUGAAGGAUGAAGGUCCUCUGGAUUGUAAACUUCUUUUAUAUGGGACGAAACCCGGGAAUUCCUUCCCGAUUGACGGUACCAUAGGAAUAAGCACCGGCUAACUCCGUGCCAGCAGCCGCGGUAAUACGGAGGGUGCAAGCGUUAUCCGGAUUCACUGGGUUUAAGGGGUGCGUAGGAGGGUAGGUAAGUCAGUGGUGAAAUCCCCGAGCUAAACUUGGGAACUGCCGUGGAUACUAUCUAUCUAUUGAACGCUGGCGGCAUGCUUUACACAUGCAAGUCGAGCGGCAGCGCGGGACUCAGGCAACUGAGCCCUGGCGGCGAGCGGCGGACGGGUGAGUAAUGCAUCGGAACGUGUCCCGUAGUGGGGGAUAACGCCGCGAAAGCGGCGCUAAUACCGCAUACGCUCUACGGAGGAAAGCAGGGGACCUGCAAGGGCCUUGUGCUAGGGGAGCGGCCGAUGUCCGAUUAGCUAGUUGGUGGGGUAAUGGCUUACCAAGGCAACGAUCGGUAGCUGGYCUGAGAGGAUGAUCAGCCACACUGGGACUGAGACACGGCCCAGACUCCUACGGGAGGCAGCAGUGGGGAAUUUUGGACAAUGGGGGCAACCCUGAUCCAGCCAUGCCGCGUGCGGGAAGAAGGCCUUCGGGUUGUAAACCGCUUUUAGCCGGGAAGAAAAGUCUACGGAUAACACCCCGUGGGUUUUGACGGGUACCGGGCGGGAAUAAAGGCACCCGGCUAAACUUACGUUGCCCAGCCAAGCCGCGGUAAUACGUAGGGGUGCGAGCGUUAAAUCCGGAAUUACUGGGCGUAAAGCGUGCGCAGGCGGUCGUUGUGUCGGUGGUGAAAGCCCCGGGCU